rnacentral:rRNA from 1 species
AUUGAACGCUAGCGGGAUGCCUUACACCUGCAAGUCGAACGGAGUGGCGAACGGGUGAGUAAUGUAUCGGAACGUGCCCCGUAGCGGGGGAUCACUACGCGAAAGCGUAGCUAAUACCGCAUCAUAUUGGAGCGGCCGAUAUCGGAUUAGCGAGUUGGUGGGGUAACGGCUAACCAAGGCGACGAUCCGGAGCUGGUUUGAGAGGACGACCAGCCAAACUGGGACUGAGACACGGCCCAGACUCCUACGUGAGGCAGCGUUGGGUAAUUUUAGACAAUGGGGGAAACCCUGAUCCAGACAUCCCGCGUGUGCGAUGAAGGCCUUCGGGUUGUAAAGCACUUUUGGCAGGAAAGCGGUACCUGCAGAAUAAGCACCGGCUAACUACGUGCCAGCAGCCGCGGUAAUAC